rnacentral:rRNA from 1 species
UACAGAGGGGGCAAGCGUUGUUCGGAAUUACUGGGCGUAAAGGGCGCGUAGGCGGCUAGGCAAGUCAGGUGUGAAAGCCCCGAGCUUAACCCGGGAAUUGCAUCUGAAACUGCUGUGCUUGAGUUCUGGAGGGGGUAGUGGAAUUCCCAGUGUAGCGGUGAAAUGCGUAGAUAUUGGGAGGAACACCUGCGGCGAAGGCGGCUACCUGGACAGAAACUGACGCUGAGGCGCGAAAGCUAGGGGAGCGAACGGG